CUGGGUGAAGAGCUCUUGGAUAGGACAGAGUUCGGUGACCAGUUGCUGAUGGCGUUUGGCUCCUUGGUGUCUCUCUGGGUAUACCCUUGUCCAUCUAGCCCAGGAUUUGCAAAUCAGACACCCUGCUGUUGUCAUCGUGUGCUAGUCUGAGUUUACAUACCCACUUUUGAGAGGAAGAUAAGAGGUCCUCAGUUUUUCUCCUUUUGUGGCUUUCCUCUGUGUCUGGGGAACCAGGCUGUCUGAUCAUGGAGAGGCUCUGGGACCCAAAGACUGACCUGCCUACUUGACGCCAUCAGCAGGCUCUGUAACAACCUUUGAUCAGAGCAUCAAACUGCGUUUCUUUCAUCAACCCAGAGGCUCCCUAAUGCUGGGGUCCACCUCUCUGUCAAACUGGGUAUACCCACGACUGUGACGACAACUUCCACACUAAACAAAGGAGACUGCCUCUCUCCAUCUCUUCUGGAACCAGAUGGACACACAGACAUGUGUGACGUAGGGAGACAUUUUCUGAACCUUGGAGCUUGGAUAUCAUCUCUCUGUAAGAGAUCAGUGUUGUCAGUAUUUCAUGGAAUCUACAUAGGUGAAUGAGUCAACUGGAGAUCUUUCACGUCACAGAGCAAACACCCUCUGAGCAAUAAUAAUAAGUGUGGGUCCAGAAAAUGGGAGUACUGGAAUUGCUGGGCUCAAGAACUGAUCACACACAGGAGUCCAUUUCAGAAGAUUGGCAAGUCUAAAGGGAAGUCAAGUCCAGUUAUCUACUGGAAGCUCAAAGUGGAAACUCAAGCACCAAGCAUGGCACUGUGGGUACUAACAUGGCUGUGGUAGGAAGAGGAUGGGGCCAGUGCCCAUAGCAAGGACAAUAAUUCUAAACAGAAAAAAACUCCUUAACUAUACAGCAAUAGUAAAUAAACUAAAAUAGUUAUAUUACAAUGACUUGUAACCAGU